rnacentral:rRNA from 1 species
GACGGAGGAUGCAAGUGUUAUCCGGAAUCACUGGGCGUAAAGCGUCUGUAGGUGGUUCAAUAAGUCAACUGUUAAAUCUUGAGGCUCAACUUCAAAAUCGCAGUCGAAACUAUUGGACUCGAGUAUAGUAGGGGUAAAGGGAAUUUCCAGUGGAGCGGUGAAAUGCGUAGAGAUUGGAAAGAACACCAAUGGCGAAAGCACUCUGCUGGGCCGACACUGACACUGAGAGACGAAAGCUAGGGGGAGCGAAUGGG